rnacentral:lncRNA from 1 species
AAAAAUAGGGACUGGUUUCCUUCUCACUUCCUCAAUCGAGAUGUGACAUCGAUGAACAAAUCCUCACUGCAGGGAAUAGUCACACCACCCAUUGGAUGGUCGAAGCCAAAUUCUUCCUCAGCUUGACUAAGCAAGUCUUGAAAUAAAGGUUCGCUCAAGAAUGAUAUGGGGAUCAUGAAUCUCUUUUUCUGCAUCUCCCCAACAUACACAGCAAAAUGGCCCUUGGGAAUAUCUCUGGUUGCGGAAGACUUCUUGAUCAUACGAAGAAUAGCCAUGAUGAUUUAGUUUUAGUAUAGAUAAGAAAGGUAAAAGAAAUACAAAGGAACUCAAAAGCAGAGAAAGUUUUGAUGUUUGCUGAGAGCUGUUGUGGAAGAUACCACUUUGGAUGUUUAUAUAGGCAAUAUCGACUCAUUCUGAUGUAUUUUGAGUAGGAAUUUGUGGGCACCAGCAGAAGACAAUGUCACUGAAGUAUCACAUGCUCUUGCCUUCCAAGUAUUGAAAACUUUGUGGUAUUAGUUGAAGAACAAUAGGCCCUACAUUUUUUUGAAUCUUGGAAAGAAGCAUUAUUCAUUAUAGAAUUUUUGAGAAGUCAUAAAGUUCAUGAUUCUGGUGAAGAGCCAUUUGGAUUGGACAUCAGUUAAAGACGAUGAUAUAUCAGUAAUCACAUGGCCCUGCCUUCCAGCUAGUUGACAUGAGUAAUUGCUUUAGCUCAUCAGAUCAAGUUCAAUAGGUCCUGCAUAUAUUUUCCUAUAGGGAACCAAGGAUCUCUAAGAAUCAAAUCCAUAAAAAUUGCUGGUAGCCUAUGAUGCAAACUGUGUCCACUUAUAUACAAACUAUAAGAGAAAAGAAGUCAAAAAUAUGAAAGAUUUCACUGGUGGAGAGGUAUUUGUUGCACUGUUUAUUGACAAUAGCACAUGAAGCAUCACAUGGUGUUGUUGCCCAACUCAUUGUCUAAUAUAUAUGAUCUUAGCAAAUUGCUCAUGAAUAUCAUCAGACCCCAGUGUUUUUCAUGACAAGAUAGAGAACAGACUAUCUUUAGAGAUCAAAUUGAUAAUUUACUGCAAUAGUUGACAACUUGUGGGAUCAACAUUCCGGAUGAGAAUAACCCAUGGUAUUUCAAUAGUUUUUGACAAGUGUUUUCAAAUAGUAGAUAACAGAAAUGUUUAUUGACUAUCAAUAUGUCUAUGUUUUGCAUAUCCAUCAAAUUAUGAGUCAGUCAGAACCUUACUAUUGCCAGAAAUUUGAAUCCAUAUUCAAGAAAAGUAUAGAUAUUAUAUCUUAUUAAGAGUUGAUGAAUUUACAUCCAUUUUCUAUCUCAUUCAGUUAAACUCAGUAAUUUCACAUUACUGCAGAAUAUCAGAUCUAGUACAUAUUGAGUUAUUUGUACAUUGUACGACGGAUGCUGCCAAGUGCAUCUAAUUUAUUUGGAACCCCAAAGUGUAAUUAUUACCAAUAGAAUGAAUUGUGCCACUAAAGAAUGAAUUGAGAAAACCAUGAGAGUUGAGCAAAAAAUUUCUAUUGCAAUGAAUUGAUUACAUCAAUGUAUGGAAGUAAAAUGUUUCAUUACUUCAAUUACUUUUGAAGUAGAAAAAUGUGUCCUUAGUCUACCUAGUGUUUCUUAUAACUCUCAACUGUACACAGUGGAGUUCCUGGCUUACUACAACUAUACAAAAUUGAGUUAACAAAAAAAUAGGGACUGGUUUCCUUCUCACAUUCUCAAUCGAGAUGUGACAUCGAUGAACAAAUCCUCACUGCAGGGAAUAGUCACACCACCCAUUGGAUGGUCGAAGCCAAAUUCUUCCUCAGCUUGACUAAGCAAGUCUUGAAAUAAAGGUUCGCUCAAGAAUGAUAUGGGGAUCACAAAUCUCUUUUUCUGCAUCUCCCCAACAUACACAGCAAAAUGGCCCUUGGGAAUAUCUCUGGUUGCGGAAGGCUUCUUGAUCAUACGAAGAAUAGCCAUGAUGAUUUAGUUUUAGUAUAGAUAAGAAAGGUAAAAGAAUUACAAGGAACUCAAAAGCAGAGAAAGUUUUGAUGUUUGCUGAGAGCUGUGGUAGUAGAUAUCUCUUUGGAUAUGUUUAUAUAGACAAUGGAAACUCAUACCGAUGUGGUGUUGAAUAAGAAAUUGUGGGCACCAGCAAAAGACAAUCUCACUGAAGUAUCACAUGCUCUUGCCUUCCAAGUAUUGAAAACUUUGUGGUAUUAGUUAAAGAACAAUAGGCCCUACCUUAUUUUGAAACUUGGAUAGAAGCAUAAUUCAUUAUAGAAUUUUUGAGAAGCUAUGACCUGGAACAUGGACCACUAACAUGAAAAACAUAACCACAUUGGGAAACAUAAAAUUUCAUUAAUUAAUAUCCCAAAACAACAAGUAACAUGAGAGAGGUCAAACUCUUCCCAUCUUUGGACUUGAAAGGCUUUAGUUAUCAAGGAUUACAGGCCCUACCUUUUCUUUGAACUUAAAGAGCAAAGUAUCCCUCACAACCAAAUAGCUAAACAAGUAUUGUCUAGGUACACAUCAAAUUUUGUAUGUUGACAUGUUUUUGUUGUAAGCAUUAUUCCUGAGAAAACAAAAAUAGUUUAUAUGGCCAUAAGCUUCCAAUUCCAAGUGCUUCCUAGCAUAGGUUUAUAACUUUUCAUUAAUCAUUAUGGCUCUAAUUGGUUGAAAAGAAUUUGUAUAUGGAGUCUUAGGAAGUGGUUCUAAGAUCUUAAAAUUGUUGUUGUGAUAUCUCAACAUCACAUUCUCACUUACCAUUCUACUUGUCAUUAAACAAAUAUACAAAGCAAAAGACCAUCAAUAGGCACCUGAUGGAUAUCAUAUGGUUUUACCUUCUAUGUCCUUUUGGGCACUGCUUAUGAUUUGUGAUAUAGUCCUAUUUUCAUGACCAUACAUAAAAAAAGUGAAAAACCAAGUUGAGAAGAGGAAAGAGGAUAAAGGUGAAUUUUUGCGUUGAUCUACAUUGUAGACUCUACAACUAUUUGAAGUAAGUAAAACACAUAAAGCUAUGGUUUGGAUUCAAUAACUUGCAAACAAAUAUUAUUAGUUACUUCUACACAGGCCUCUCUUAGAGAACCAUAGAGUAAAUACAGUUGUGCUAAGGCCUCUCUUAGAGAACCAUAGAGUAAAUACAGUUGUGCUAAUCGAUGCUUUUAGAAACAAGUUGGCAUAGAUAUAUGCAAUGUUUUCUUCUCAUAUCAUAAGUCAUUUGAUCAAAUGGUUGGACCAACUUUGCAGAUCAGAAUUGUCCUGAGUUUUUCAGCUGCUCGAGCGAAAUUCUAAUAAAUCAUCAAACCAGUAUUGAUUUUUCAGAAGAGAAGAAAUAGAAAAUGUCUAAUGAAGUGUGAAGUUGUGAACUAUGAAUGUGACUUCUUCGAUAUUUUGAAAUUUCUUCUGCUGAUUUCAUUUCUUUGGCUGCGCCAAAUAUAUUUCAGUGUUCAGGAUAAGGUCACAGAUGAGUUUUCUUUAGAGUUAAUUAACAUAGACUUCAGCACUUUCGAAGGUCCAAUUCCUAUGUUAUGGAAAGAACAGUCAUGUAAAGAAAUUUGUUGAACAGAAAUAAUAAUACCAAAUUGGAUACUGAAUGAGUCUGAACUGAUUUCAUUUGCUAAACUACUGAAAAUUGUAUUCAAAAUUGGGAUCUAUAGAUCCAGCUGACAGUAGUGAGAAGUAACAAUGUGUGUUUCCUAAUUCCUCUUAUGUACAAACUAAAAAUCCUAUUCUUUACAAAACUGUGAAAAUAAAAGCCUCAGAUCCUAUUCAAGCGAGAAGUAAGAUCAACGAACACAUCUUCACUGCAGGGUAUUGUUACACCACCCAUUGGAUGAUCGAAGCCAAAUUCUUCCUCAGCUUGACUAAGCAAGUCUUGAAAUAAAGGUUGGCUCAAGAAUGAAAUGGGGAUUACAAAUCUCUUCUUUUGUUUCUCCCCAACAUAAACAGCAAAGUGGCCUUCAGGAACAUCUGCGACUGUAGAGGACUUGAUUAUACGAGGCAUACGGAUAGCCAUGGUCUUUUAGUUCAAUAUAGACGAGGAAAUAAGGAAGGGAAGAAUUUGUAAGGACUCUGAAAGCACAGAUAAGCUUUGUAUAAUUUGAAGUUUUGGUCAGAGCUGUUAUGGUAAACCCUUCUUUAUAUUUGUUUAUAUAGGCCAAUGACAAGUUGUCAAACCCCACUGAUGUCUGAAUAGCCAUUUUGUGGACACCAGCUAAAGACAGUAGCACCUGAAGUAUCACAUGGUUUUGCCUUCCAACUCAUUGUCAUAAUAUUAAUGCAAACUCUCAUGUCCACUUAUAUAAAAACUAUAAGAGAAAACAAAUCAAUCAUAUAGAAGAUUCAACUGGUGGAGAGGCAUUUGUAGUAAUGUUGAUUGACAAUAGCACAUGGUUUUGCUACUCAACUCAGUGUCAAGUAUAUAUGAUCUUAGUCAUUGCACUUCAAUAUUAGCAGUCCCUUGUUUUUCAGGACAAGAUAGAGAACUGAAGAUUUUUAGAAAUCAAUAUGCUAACAUUGAGUCAUUGUCAACAGCAGGAUUUUAUGAGUUUGAUCAGAAUGAUAAUAACAGGUAAAAUUUACUACCAUCUGACCAUUUGCGUAGUCCCUCAAGCUAAGUCAUUAUGUAGGAACAACUUUCCUGAUUAAAAUAAACCAACCCAUUUCAAUAGAUUUUUUCUACAUGUUUCCAAAUAGUAGAGAAUACUAUAUAUUCUUUACUGGCUAUCUCUGUCCAUGUUAUGCGAAUCUCCAUCAAAUUAUUAGUCAGUCAACACCUUAUUAUUGCUACAAAUUCGAAUUUCAUAUUCAAAAGUACAGAUACUAUUUCUUAUGAAGAGUUCAUAAAGUGUAAUUAUCAUUUUUACCAAUUGAAUGAGGUAUGCCACUUAAGAGGACUAGAUUGUAGUUCUUUCUGAUUACCAAACCAUUAGAGUUGAGCAAACAAUUUCUAGUGCAAUGAAUUGAUUACAUCAAUGUAUGGAAGUAAAAAGUUUCAUUACUUCAAUUUCUUUUGAAGUAGAAAAAUGUGUCCUAGUCUAGCUAUUGUUUCUUCUAACUCUCAACUGUACACAGUGGAGUUCCUGGCUUACUAACAACUAUACAAAAUUGUGUAACAAAAAAAUGGGGACUAGUUUCCUUCUCACUUCCUCAAUCGAAAUGUGAGAUCCAUGAACAAAUCCUCACUGCAGGGAAUAGUAACACCGCCCAUCGGAUGUUCGAAGCCAAAUUCAUCCUCGGCUUGACUAAGCAAGUCUUGAAACAAAGGUUCGCUCAAGAAUGAUAUUGGAAUUACAAAUCUCUUUUUCUGCAUCUCUCCAACAUACACAGCAAAAUGGCCCUUGGGAAUAUCUCUAGUUGCGGAAUACUUCUUGAUCAUACGGAGAAUAGCCAUGAUCUCUUAGUUUUAGUAUAGAUGAAAAAAAAAGGACUGUUGAGGGAACUCAAAAGCAGAGAAAACGUUGAUGUUUACUCAGUGUUGUGGUGGUAGAUACCUCUUUGGAUAUAUUUAUAUAGGAAAUGGCAACUCAUAUUGAUGUGAAUUGAUUAGGAAUUUGCGGGCUCCAGCAGAAGACAAUGGCACUCAAGUAUCACAUGCUCUUGCCUUCCAAGUAUUGAAAACAUUGUGGUAUUAGUUGACUAACAAUAGGCCCUACCUUUUUUGAAAACUUGGAAAGUAGCGUUAUACAUUACAUAAUUUUUAAGAAGUGAUGAGAAGUCGAUAACCUCUUGAUAUGUGAUGAAGAGCCAUUUGGAUUGGGCAUCACAUGGUCAUGCCUUCCAACUAGUUGACAUGAUUAAUUGUUUUAGCUCAUAUUAGAUCAAGUUCUAUAGGUCCUACAUAUAUUUUCCUAUAGGGAACAAAGGAUCUCUAAGAAUCAAGUCCAUUAAUAUUGCUGGCAGCUUGUGUUGAUUUCAAGGAAUAAAACAUACCCCAGAUGCAAACUUUGUAUCCACUUAUAUACAAAAUAUAUGAGUAAAAUAUGAAAAAUUACACUGGUUGACACUGUUUAUUGAUAACAGAAAUGUUUAUGGGCUUUCAACAUGUCUGUGUUUGCAAAUCUCCAUAAAAUUAUGAGUCGGUCAAAAAGAAGACGACUGGACUGAGGAGAAGGAGAAGAGGCAGCACAGAAUUGAGAGGAAACUGAAAAAGAAGUCGACUUUCAUGAAGAUAGUAGAAAAGAGGAAGUGAGGGUAACUGAACACUCCCCAACCCUAGAAGAUAGUGCCAUGCAAGUUUCAGCUAUGUUGAGAAGUGAUUAUAACAUCUACGGGUUGACAACAAUUGAAGAUGCAGUACCUUUAAACCAACAUAACCCAGGGGAAGGGGAGGUCCGAAUUUUGAUAUUCCUAAAUGGAUUCAUCAGAACAUUAUCAAAUUUGCCAAAGAAUUUGGUGUCGACAUCACGGGGUGCAAAGAGGAACUAAACAUGAGAAAAAAAAAUUCGACAAUGAAGAAACGAACAGGAGAAUGACCUCAGAAACAAGGGAGCAAAGAAUGAAUCUCGAGUGCGGAAGUAAUUUCAGAAGCAAAGGCACAAGAAGGGGGGUGGGGGUGGGCUACAGAUCAGCAAAUGCUCAUAGAAGAUAUAACAAUAUUGAUGAAUUAAUGGUGGAUGGGGAAGCAACCCAAAAACCAGAAGUUAUAAAGAAGGAGAUUGAGGAGUUCUAUUAAAGAAUAUAUACUGAAACUGAGACAUGGAGGCCAGCUGGAGGAUGCAGGGCAGACCACAGAGCACAGAGUUUCUAUUGAAGACAAUCAUUCUAUGUAAGCUAGAUAUACAAAAAGCUUAUGACCACCUCAAUAGGAUUUGGAGGUAGAUGGAUAAGAUGGAUGAAGUUCUGCAAAAGCACCGUCAAAUUCUCUGUCCUUAUCAAUCAAUGGCUCCCCUACAGGUGAGCCUUCUCCUCACAGAGAGGUCUAAGGCAAGGAGACCCAUUAUCUCCUUUUCUCUUCAUCAUUGCCAUGGGAAGUCUUAAUGAUAUGUUGAGAAUUGCUCAAGAAAAUAGCUGGUUGAAGGGAUUCAAAGCUGCACACAGGGAAGGCGCAAACUUGGAGAUACUCAUUCGCUUUGCAGUACGCUGAUGAUACAUUUAUCUUUUGUGAGGCUAUUAAGAACCAACCCAUGAUUCUCAAGGUCAUUUUUGUUCUUUUUGAAGCAAUCCUACGAUCACACAUCAACUGGAAUAAGAGCUUCAUAUAUCCAGUUAAUGAGGUUUCUAACCUAACCUAAUUGGCUGGGGUCCUUGGUGGAAGUAUUGGGAAGCUACCAACUGUCUACUUGGGCAUGCCUCUGGGUGAUCAGAAUAUGUCUAUAGAUAUAUGGAAUGGGGUGGUAAAGAACUGCGAGAAGAGGUUGGUAAACUGAAAAAGUCAAUAUCUCUCCUUAGGAGGAAGACUAGCACUAAUCAAUAGUGUUUUGGACUCUAUACCUACCUAUAUGAUGUCCCUCUUCCCUAUCCCUGAUGGGGUCAUUGAGAGAUUGGAUGUUCUAAGAAGAAAUUCAGUGAAACCAAGAAGUUCCACUUGGUGAAAUGGGAUGCACUGAUUGGAAGUGAACAAAAAGGGGGUAUGGGGGUGAGGAACUUAAAAACUCAGAACCAAUGUCUUAUGAUGAAAUGGCUCUGGAUAAUUGCUUCUAGGGAGUCAGCUCUCUGGAAAGAAGUUAUCCAGCUGAAGUAUGAAAUGGCAGAUCAUUGGACCACCAGAAUGGUCACCGAUACUUAUGGGAUCAACCUUUGGAGAUCCAUCAGAAACCUGUGGCCAAAGCUUAGAGAAAAUUGCAGCAUAAGAACAGAAGAUGGCAGGAAGGUACUUUUCUAGGAAUACAAGUGGUUACAUCAAGCCCCCCUAAGGGACACCUUCAAUGAUAUUUACACCCUAACCAACAACAAAGGGCCAGUGUGGAUGAUGUCUAGUCUAACCAGGGAUGAAUUUGAGCUUUAGAAGACCUUUUAAUGACUAGGAGAUUUUGAGGUUAGUUGAGUUCUACAGCAAAUUGGAGCAAUUCAAAGGAACCUUCACUGACCAAGAUAGAUUGGAGUGGAAGGGCCACAGUCAAGGUAGUUUCAGUAUGAAAGGGGCCUAAAAAAAAUUUAACCCUAAUAAUUAUCAGAUUGAGGACUGGCCUUGGAAGCUUAUAUGGAAAGUCAAAAUUUCUUAUGAAGUUUCCUGCUUCACUUGGCUUGUGGCCAAACAAGCUGUUUUAACCCAAGAAAACCUCAUGAAAAGGGGGAUACAUCUAAGUCCAAGGUGUUUUUUUUGGGAAGAAAAGGCUGAGACUGUAACCCACCUUUUUUGUACACUACAGGAUUACCCGUCAACUAUGGGAAAUAUUCCCAAGUAAGAAAGGCCUGAAUUGGGUAAUGCCAAGGAAAAUAAAUCAGACUUUGAAGAUCUGGAGCAGUUAUGCUAGCAUGUCAGACCAUAAGGAUAGGUGGAAAAUUGCACCAGCUUGAAUUUGGUGGGCUGCUUGGCGAUGAAGAUGAAGUGUUUAGUUUUGUUUCACUUUUGGUGUAAACAGGAGUAUAGGGAAGAUCUAGAAUCAAUUAAAGAUGUCUUAGGAUUAUUGUAAUUUUUUGUUGAAAGGGUUGAAGUUCUUCUAGAUACUCCCCUCCUCAAUUGUAAUUAGGAAACCUGUAACUUGUCGUGGCAGGUUUCUGUUUUUGUGGAAAUAGAAUACAAGUCGUUACCUUCUCAAAAAAAAAAAGUAUAAACAUGAAAUACAAAUUAUUAAGAGUUAAUCAAUUUACAUCCAGUUCUAUUGGAUUGAGUUUAACUCAGUACUUUCACAUUGCUGCAGAAUGGCAGAUCUAGUACAUCUUGAGUUACACUUCAUUGUAUGAUGAAUGUGUAUUUUAACUUCAUUUUGACCACAAAGUAUAAUUCUUACCAGCGGAAUGAGUUGUGGCACUUUAGAAGACUAGAUUCUGACUACAAAACGACGAGAGUUGAGCAAAAAGUUUCUAUUGCAAUGAAUUGUUUACAUCGAUGUAUGGCACAGAAUGAAACCAUGUAAGUAAAAAGUUUCAUUACUUCAAUUUCUUUUGAAGUAGAAAAAUGUUUCCUUAGUCUAACUAGUGUUUCUUCUAACUCUGAACUGUACAGUGUCUAUCCUGGUUUACUACAACUAUACAAAAUUAUGUAACUAAAAAAAUGGGGACUGGUUUCCUUCUCACUUCCGCAAUCGAGAUGUGAGAUCGAUGAACAAAUCCUCGCUGCAGGGAAUAGUCACACCACCCAUUGGAUGGUCGAAGCCAAAUUCUUCCUCAGAUUGACUAAGCAAGUCUUGAAAUAAAGGUUCGCUCAAGAAUGAUAUCGGGAUCACAAAUCUCUUCUUCUGCAUCUCCCCAACAUACACAGCAAAAUGACCCUUGGGAAUAUCUCUAGUUGCAGAAGACUUCUUGAUCAUACGAAGAAUAGCCAUGAUCUCUUAGUUUUAGUAUAGGUGAGAAAAAAGGAAGGAUUGUAAGGUUACCAAAAAGCAGAGAAAGCUUUGAUGUUUGCUGAGUGUUGUGGUGGUAGAUACCUCAUUAGAUAUGUUUAUAUAGGAAAUGGCAACUCAUAUUGAUGUGUGUUGAAUAGGAAUGUGUGGGUACCAGCAGAAGACAAUGGCACUGUAGUAUCACAUGCUCUUGCCUUCCAAGUAUUGAAAACUAUGUGGUAUUAGUUAAACAACAAUAGGCCCCACCUUAUUUUGAAACAUGGAAAGAGCCAUUUGGAUUGGACAUCAGUACAAGACAAUGAUAUAUUAGCAAUCACAUGGUCCUGCCCUCCAGCUAGUUUGACAUGAUUAAUUACUUUGGCAUAUAUAAGUUCAAGUUCAAUCGGUCCUACAUAUAUUUUCCUAUAGGGAACAAAGGAUCUCUAAGAAUCAAAUCCACAUAUAUUGCUGGUAGCUUAUGAGGAUAUCUAGGAAUUAACCAUACCCCAGAUGCAAACUGUGUCUACUUAUAUAAAAAGGAUAAGAGAUAAAAAGUUGGCUUAUUAAAAUUCCGAGACAGUUGGUCAAAAUCAGAUGAUCAAAUAGAAACAGGGGGAAUAUUAUAUAUGCAAGAACAAUCCAUUGAUUAAUAGUUGGCUCCCUAAGUACAUUUGGUAACUAAUGUGAAUAUUACCAUAACCAACAAACACAAAGUAACAAAUACACCUAAAAAAAGCUUCUAAUCACAUAACCACCUUCUAGAAAGGGUGCAAUGAGAAAAUAGGCCUUCAAAAUAAAGCUAAUUACAAAUAAGCCUCUGAAUCAAACUGCUACAACUACGACCUUUUCUCCCUAUUUAUAAUAGAUCUAAUCUUUCCACGAUAUCCUUCUUAAUCUGUAACACAACUGUUCCAGUUUGAACAUUCAUGUGCUAGAAUGUAGUCCAGUUCCUAGCCUUCCAAGUAAAUAAUCUUGUUUGUUAUCUUUUACAAGUACAUUGGUUUCUUCAUAAACAAACAUAAAUAAGUUGGGAUCUUCCUCCAUAAAUAGCAUCCCAUCUCUAUAUCCCUAACACAACUAUUAGUACUUUUUUAGUAGCAUUAAGCUCUCAAAUUUCUUCAAGAAAACAUACAAAAAUGGCCAUCAGAAAAUCAAAUAACUUAAUCACAAGCUGCAGUUUUAAAGCAAAAUUAUGAAUAGGUAUUCAAAUUUGGGUAUGCUGAGAUUUAUUUGCUAAUGAGUCCAACCAACGACCCGACCCCUAAGAGAAACAAUCAUUUAAAGUAAAUAAAUUAUAAGAUCAGAACAUAAGCAAGAUAAGUGAAAGAGACUAUGGGUCCUAGGGAACUUAAAAAGACACAUGGUGAUCUCUAAUGCUUUUAUGAUUGAAUGCAGUCUGGGAUAAUCUUGAAAAAAAGGUGAAAGAAAUGACACUAAUUAACUUCAACAUGCACUAGAAAAAUUUAGCUCUUAUUCAGGUCAGGAACAAAUGGCAGGAAUUACCUUCUUUGGACUCCCCAUCGUGUGAAGUUGUGCACUCUCCUCAAGCUUGUACUUCAUUAUACCAAAUGCUAACUAGUUUCAUUGGAAACACCAGGUCGUGUGAGUUACUAAAAUAUCUGAUUGAGAUAAUAUCAGAAAGAGAACUAACCCUUCCAUGAACGUUGAUAACAUGACCUUUCAUCAGAGAAUACACCGUCACCACAACUUGGGGUGGAGGAUUUACCAAAUUGAUGGUAUGACUGCUGUGGAAACUCCAAGCAGAUAGCUUCUGCAAAAUGAUGCAGUCUCCUUACAGCUCUAGUUUCUGCACGAUGGAAACGAACAUUAAUUAGUUGCCCACAUUUCCUGUCAUCAUUGAUCAUUAAUACAAACAAGCACUCAAGGACAAAUUACCUGGCAUGAGUGGCACAUAACGAAAAGUCUUGAUACUUUUAUUUGCUGCUGCUGUUCUUGAAGACUAGCUUGUGGCAAAGAAUUUCUUGCCCGAGGAGCUGAAAUGACUCCUCCUACUCUUCUCCAUCAUUAUAAUCUCAUCUGUUUUACCUUGAUUUCCAGCAUGAAUCCAUUUAUGCGAGUUCCCAUCCCAUCCUAGAGGAGAGCAUAGCUUGUGGUAUCAAAAUAAUAAUUAAGAUUUUCUUCACUAUGAGAAUGUAUAUGUGACAAAUCAUCACCAUUAUAAUAGAAUUCAGAAGGAUCUGAACUAUUAACGUCACCCGAUCAAGUCCCCUACACUGUACAUAUCAUCUGUAGAACUAGCACUAAAAUUGAGAUGCUGAGAUUUAUAUUUGCUAAUGAGUCCAACCAAACAAUCCCUAAGAGGAACAAUUGCUUAAAGUAAGUGCAUUUUAAAGAAAUUUAUGAAAAACCAAGACUGAUCAUAUGGACUAUGCAAAGGCCAUAUAGACAUUAUCAAUCAUAAGUGUUGUGUUCCCACAAUCAGAAUAAACUUCUUAUCAACCUGUUGGGGGAACUUUGACACCCUCCAGACAGUUUUUAUCAAUUGUAUCAGUAACCAAUGAAUCGCCAACAAAAUGCAAGACACCAGAAGUGACAUUGAGUAUAGUAUCCAGAUUCUUAGGAUUCUCUGUUCCAGAACCACUCUGCAUCUCAUACUCGAGGAGCGGCCCGUUGGUUCACCAAAGCCCGACCCAGUGUCGCACAUUCUCCAAAAGGUAAAGGUUCUAUCAUCUUGUCCAUAUAGUCAAGGUACUCAACUGUAGUCUUUGGACGGAAGUCCCUCCAUUUUGUCCCAGAAUCUAAGGAACUUUGAAUAAACAUAAGCAAGAUAUAAUUUGAAAGAGACUCUGUGGCCUAAGAGACUUAGAAAGAGACAUAAUCUGAAAUGCUUUCAUGAUUAAUAAGAAUGCAAUCUAAGAUAAUUUUGAGAAGUGGAUGAAAGAAAUGAAGCUCAUUAACUAAAACAUGCACAAGAAAAUUCAGCUCUUAUCAACAAUUUACCUUCUUUUAACUCCCCAUCGCGUGUACUUGUGCAAUCCACUUGAAUUUGUAAUAUUCUAUUCCAGAUGUUAACAAAUUUCAAUUUAACACUUGGCCUGAAGAGAAAAAUAUCAGGUCGUGUGAGUUACUAAAAUAUUUGAUUGAGAUAAUAUCAGAAAGAGAUCCCACCCUCUCAAGAAAUUUGAUAGCAUUACCUUUCAUUAGAGAACACACCCUUACCACAUUUCGGGUGGAAGAUUGAGCACAUUGAUGGAAUGAGUGAGUGGAAGCUCCCAGCAGAUAGCUUCUGUAGAAUGAUGUAGUCCCCUUGCAGCUCUAGAUUCUGCACGAUGGAAAAGAACAUUAAUUAGUUGCUCAUAUUUUCUGUCAUAGUUGAUUAUUAACACAAAAAACACACUCGAGGAGAAAUUAUCAGGCAUAUAAGCAGAUCAUGAACAAUUUAAAUGUUGUUAUUUCCUGCUGCCUUUCUUGAAGACUCACUUGUGGCAAAGAACUUCUUGUCUUGGUAAAAUGGAGGAGCUGAAUGGCUUCUUCUACUCUUUCUUCUUCCUUAUAAGCUCAUCUAUUUUACCUCGAUUUCCAGCAUCAAUCCAUUUGUGCGAGUCCCCAUAUACCCUAGAAGAGAGCAUAGCUCGUGGUGGCAAAUAAUUUUAAGAUUCUCUUCAUCAUGAGAAAGCAUAUGUGUCAAAUCAUAUCUAUCAUAAUAGAAUUCAGAAGGACCUGAACUAUAAACAUCCCAUGGAUCCAGUCCCCUAUACCGGCCAUGCCAGUUUGCCCAAUUACAAGUAAAACUGCAAAACAAAAAAAUUGAAGAACACCCGAAAAAAGAUACUAACAAACACAAACCGUCAAACAACCUAUCAGUUGAGGAACGCAUGCAGCCCUAUAGACUACGACAACCAUUCCAAGUUACGAACAUAAUCGUUGUCAGUCCAAUAUUUUGCAAAAUGAUUACCAUAUCAUUCUCUUCUCAGCAUCUGUCCAUCUCGUGAGACACCAGAUCCUUCAAAAGAAAGUACCAACUUCAGGUGAUGAAGCAAAAUAAUAAAUUGAGCAGAAUUUUAUACAUAUCUAAAUGCAUUUAGAUCAACGUCAAAGAAACUAAUAGAUACCAUUGUCAUCCACCUUAACAAUUCAGGUCCCAAUGUCAACAGCAACAGAUACCUGGUUGAAAAUGGAAACUGUGUUAAAGUUCAACUUAGGAGUACACAAAUUAUAAGAACAACGAACAUAAAAAGAGCAGUCCUACAAGGGGAGUAAAUCUCAUGGAGAAAACAAAGUGCUGUUAUAAGAAUAUUCAUUUGUUAAAAAAAAAUGCUUUGAUACUAGAAUCGAGCAUCAUACUAAGAGGAGAAGAAGUAUAUCAAUUUUCAUAUAAAGCAUAUCCCCUUGUAAUCAGAGGUAGCAAAAAUAGAAACACACGAAUCCAUUGAAGAGCCUCACUGAUCAGUGCCUUUUGUGCAAAUAGUCCAAGCUAUUAAAACUGCAUUAAAGCAUGACUUGCCAUAUUCUCAGCAGCCCACAUCUAUUGAUCCUCUAAACAUUAACAAAAUCAGAAAACAUAAAAAACGCCCACUCUCUUACAUGACACAAUUUACAACUUAUAAGAAACAAUUAAAAUCAGAAAGUCUAGAGCAUGUUCAUUUCAAAGAUGAAAAUAAGUCUAGACCAUGUAAAAGAAAAUGACCACUGAGGGUGUUCUGUCCAAUCGAGUGUCUUCAUUCAAAAUACUACAAAUCAUUUCUUAUAAUUAAACUACUUAUUUUUUAAGAAUUGUAACAGUGGGGCCUUCAACAAGAAAAACUCCACAUUUUCCCAUUCAAUGGCUUCAUAAUUCAGUUAUAAUUAAACCAAAAACAACAACAAGAGUAUCUAUCAUUAUUCAUGACUUCAUAAUUCAAUUAUAUAAAAAGGUUCACCUCUAUGUGACUAUCACUUUUAUCUUUGACAAUGAAAGGAAGGCCAGCAUCUUCAAAUUGCUGCACCAUAUCAGGAUCCACCUACGUAGCACAGGAUAAGUUUUUGCAUACGUCCCUUACUAAAGAAAUCACAUCCUAUGGUCUACAUAUAAUUAUUAAACCAGUCCACCUAGAUGUGCAAUAGUUACACCACAGUUCCAAAUUUAAAGGAAAAAAAGUGUUGAACCUCAUAUAUAUGAUGGUGCCUCUCAUCUGCAAAGCUCCAAUUGCCAAAUUUGAGAAAAGAUAUAAUUAAGCCAGUUGGUAAUAUCAACGGGAAAAAUCCUCCAGAAUGGCUUCACAAACUUAUCAACAAGCAUGCCCAAUGUAUGCAAAAGCAGUCUAUUAAGAAUUUCAAGAAACCAGAGAGAAAAGGCAAAGAACCAUAUCAUUUUAAAAAAUACUUGGUCAGAAAUCAAAAAGUCAAUAAACAAAAGUGUAGAAAGACGACUUAUAACAUCUCUUUAUCCAUCAAUUUAGGGCUCAGUGUAAACACCGAAACCUGACAGUUAUCCUGAAAGUUAGAAUGCACCAACACUUGCAUUCAAUUUGUUAAGGAAACUCAGAUGAAUUCCAAAUCCACUAGACAACAGCGGCAAGGAGAAGGAGAAACACAUGUGCAAAGCAGGUCAUUCUCACUGCAUGCAAAUGAACAAAAUCUAAGGAACUAGACAGGAAAUCCUUAAGUUAGAUGGCGUAUUGAAAACGAACCUUUCAAUAUCAACAAUUUUGAAGGAGACACUGCGAUGCGCAAGGGAGAUUCUUAGCAGAGACUCUAUCGGAGAAUGCAAGACCCUACUUGGACUUCAAGAUUAUACAUGCAGACCAAAAGAUCAAUCAGAUCAGAAUACAGUUUAGAAGUAAAGUAUGUAAAGCAAUAUCUUUUACUUGUUUGAUUUUGAGAAAACUAGAAGAACUUGGAAUGCAUUUGCUUCCUUUGAACUUCUAAGUUGUAAAAUACAUCACGAACAAUUACUGCAAAAAGAGAAACCCUAGAAAUCUCCUUUAAUAGCAGGCAGCAGUUAACUCAAUUAUCAAGUAGGCUUAUACAAAAUCACCUGCUAUACCAACAUCUUGUCUAUAAUCACCAAUUCCAAGGUACAAAACACUUGCCAUCCGGUUAACAAUGGCCAGAUAAGACUUCAAGGACCAGGUUAGUAGUUCUAUACCUAUCCUAGUGUCAACUACUUACUAUAACUCAAAAGAAUUUUACCUUCAAAACCUUACAAUAUCUAUUAGGCCUCCCAUGAGAUUUGGUAACAAUUCCAGAAAAGAAAUAUCAGAAAUAGAGCUCAGAACCAACUAGUCACCACAAGAUAUUCUUGAGAAACACAUCAAAAUAGCUUCAUCAGAUUAACACAAUCAGUAUCAGUGGUGCCAACUAUGAGAGUUAAAUACUGCACAUAACUAUGCUGAAUUGAUUGCAUAUCUACCAUGGAACAAAAAUGAACAAGUGACAUGUUUUUCUUUUUUUUGUGGCGAUUAGUCAAACCAAUCCUAGUGUCAACUACUUACUAUAACUCAAAAGAAUUUUACCUUUAAAACCUUACAAUAUCUAUUAGGCCUCCGAUGAGAUUUGGUAACAAUUCCAGCAAAGAAAUAUGUAGAUAUGGUACAACAAAUUAGGGGCAGGUGAUGACCAGCCCUUUUAACAUAUAGCAUGUCGUUGAAGUCAAUAGGUUCCUAUCCAGUUCAUAGCAGAAUGUCUACAGAAUCAAACAAUGUAAUCAGUUGAAACAAAAUCCAGUAAUCCUAAAAAGUGCAACAGUUCUCAAGUUUGAUCUAGUCCAUGGUCUGCAGUCAAAAACUAACAGAAACCAGAUGCAGUCCUCUGGUUACUUGUGCUCCCACUUCAUCCACUUAUCAAAGAAAUAUAAGAAUUUUGUCACUUCCUCAGAGCCUAUUCUAGCUUUUCCCUAAUCCCCUCGUUCUAAUUAAUGGUAUUUCGUAAAACUUUUGAAACAUUAGUGUAGGUGUUAAAUGUCAAAUGAAUUUUGUUACACCAAAGAAUAGAAAAGAUACUAACUCAGUAACUCCAACAUGAAGGAGUUAAGUUGAUUCAAUCUUCUGACAGAAAGGAUACAUAAAGAAGUACUCAAAUCAAAGUUAGGCUACAAUUUUCCGUUUCUAGACCAUGUAAAGGAAAGGGGCGGUGAGAGGGUUUUAAGUCUACAAUUGAGUGUCUUCAUUCAAAAUACUACAAAUCACAAACUUACUUAUAAUUAAACUACUUUUUUUUUUUAUAUAUACUUGCGCAGUGGGCCUUCAAGAACAAUUUCACGUCUUUUUUCAAUUCCAAUUUUCCAAGAGGGAGCAGGGGAAAUCAGGGAAAAACAAGUUCUUGAACAUCCUUAACAUGCAUUGAAAGGAUGACAACAUAACUUGCUUUUAAAAAAAGCCAACAAAUUCUUGAAAUUUUCUUAAAAGUUUCUUCAAUUCCAACAUGCAAAAUCGAGUUCAUUGGAAGAAUAUCAAGAUAAUGAGUAGAGUACCAAUAGAUAGAUAGAUCAAUUGAUUUAGGGUUAGGGUUUUGAUCGGACAUCGUCACUCGAACCAUCAAGAACACCAACAAGUUCAAUGAACUUUUCUUAAAAAUUAAACGCAAAAUAGAGUUGUUGAAUUCGAAUAUGAAGAAUGCCCAUGAAUCAUGAUAGAUUUCCCGAUGGCCGCCGGUAGCGUAAAAGUUCCGGCGGUCGAAGUAUUGAGUUCUAAAAUGGACACUAGGUUCUCCAUUUUAUAGUUUUAGAACCAGAUAAUACACGCGGCAGAAAAAUAGAACACGGAAAAAUAACUACAAAAUAUAUUACUUUUUUUGUAAACUAUUUUAUUCUAGUAAUUAUUUUUUAUAUUUUUUUGUAAUAGGAAGAAAUUAUUGAUUGAAUGUGAAAUUUGUUCCCUCCUUUCCAUAUUAAAUUAAUAUUUUUAUUUUUUUAAAAUUAAUUUAAUUAUUAAAUUUUCAAGACUAUUUAAAAUAGUUAUUUCAAUUUUAUCUUUUUUAUAUUGAAAGUAGUGGUUAAUUAAUAUUUAAUUAUUUUAAUUAUAAAUUUGAUAAUAAUUAGUACAAUUUACUUCUCCUUUUUCUUAAGAAGAGAAAUUUAAGCGUUUUUUUAAUCGAAAAAAAAAUUACUUUCAUUUAAAAAAAUUUAAAAUAUUUGUCAAAUAUUUAAUUUUUCAAACAAAAAUAUCUUUUUCUAUUAAAAAAAACAUAUUGAGUAUCCCAACAACAAUGUCAAAAAACACUACUAACCCAACUUUUCUUGUUUUCAUUUUUCUGCAAAUAAACUUCAAAAAUAAAUAAAAAUCUUGUCCAAUAAAAGUGUGUAGUAAUUUGUUUAUUGUCCUAAGUGUUUAGAUAAUCAAAAAGAUAUUAAUAAUGUUAUUUCAAAUUUUUUAAAGCGUGUGAAGUCGAUUAUGAGAAACAAUAGUAAAAAAAAGAAAGUAAAAAAAAUGAUACACAUACCAAAUAUCAGCCUAAGUCAAGUAGAAUCCCAUAAUGUUGAGUGUGUGAAACACAGCUAAAGAUAAUCACAAAAUUACAUGCAACACUUUGCAAAUGAACUAAAACGUUCAUAUUCUUUUUAUGUAUUUCUGCAUCAGUAUAAUGUUGUGUUUUUUUUUUUUUAUUUGUCGAGAAAACGUGGAACAACACAAAUAUAUAUAAUGUAAAAGUAAUGGAAAUAAAAUGGAAAAAUAAUAACACUAAGAAUUUUACGUGAAAAUCCUUUUAAAUAAGGGAAAAACCACGGGUCAAAAGAAGCAACUGAUAUUACUAUAGUAAGAAAUUAUAAACUGUGUAGUCACGAAUAUAAUAAUCAAAGUGACUACUAUACACUCAAAAGGAACAACACUAUUUUGGUUUCCACCUUACUAAAAUAUCAAUUACACUCUAUUUUUUCUUCACAGAUUAUUUUUCUUGUAUAGUCUAUGGAAUACCUCACUUUGCUCUCAAAAUGAUUUUUUCUCAAUCACUUGGUAUGUUUUACAACUGAGCAAGAAUGCUAUAUUUAUAGAAGGAGAAAUCAUGUCUAUGUCACUAAUGACAUAGAUAAAUAUAGCAAAGUCAAAAAAGGGUUGCACAUCUUAUCAAUUCGUCAACCAUCAAAUCACAAAAUUUAAAUGUUGAAUAAUACAGAUUGAACAUGAAAGUCUCAUUUCAAAUACAAUUUCAAAGAAUACUCUGCAAAUGAACUAAAACAUUCAUAUUUUUAUGUAUUUCUGCAGCAGUAUAAUGUUAUGUUUUUUUUUUGUUGUAUUGAGGUCUUGAGGAUAACGAAGACUUUAGCUCUUGAGAAGCUCCAAUUCCCCUGUUAUAAAUAAAUGAAAUCAUGCAAAGAAAUUUCUGAAUUCUCAAAAAUCAGUUGGCGGUCUGAAGACGGUAGAACAUGAAGUAUCACAUGGUUUUGCCUUCCAACUCAUUGCCAUAAUACUAUUAAUGCAAACUCUCAUGUGUCCACUUAUAUCAAAACUAUAACAAAAAACUAAUCAAUCAUAUAGAAGAUUCAACUGGUAGAGAGGCAAAAAGUUUCUAUUGCAAUGAAUCGAUUACAUUCAAUGUAUGGAAGUAAUAAAUUUCAUUACUUCAAUUUCUUUUGAAGUAAAAAAAUGUACACUAGUCUAGCUAGUGUUUCUUCUAACUCUCAACUGUACACAGUGGAGUUCCUGGCUUACCACAGCUAUACAAAAUUGUGUGACAAAAUAAAAAUGGGGACUAGUUUCCUUCUCACUUCCUCAAUCGAGAUGUGAGAUCCAUGAACAAAUCCUCACUGCAGGGAAUAGUAACACCGCCCAUUGGAUGUUCGAAGCCGAAUUCAUCCUCGGCUUGACUAAGCAAGUCUUGAAACAAAGGUUCGCUCAAGAAUGAUAUUGGAAUUACAAAUCUCUUUUUCUGCAUCUCUCCAACAUACACAGCAAAAUGGCCCUUGGGAAUAUCUCUAGUUGCGGAAGACUUCUUGAUCAUACGAAGAAUAGCCAUGAUCUCUUAGUUUUAGUAUUGAUGAGAAAAAAAGGACUGUUAAUGGAACUCAAAAGCAGAGAAAGCUUUGAUGUUUGCUGAGUGUUGUGGUGGUAGACACCUCUUUGGAUAAGUUUAUAUAGGAAAUGGCAACUCAUACUGAUGUGAAUUGAAUAGGAAUUUGUGGGCACCAGCAGAAGACAAUAACACUCAAGUAUCACAUGCUCUUGCCUUCCAAAUAUUGAAAACAUUGUGGUAUUAGUUGAAGAACAAUAGGCCCUACCUUUUCUAAAAACUUGGAAAGAAGCAUUAUUCAUUACAUAAUUUCUAAGAAGUGAUGAGAAGUCAUAAACCUCUUGAUAUGUGAUGAAGAGCCAUUUGGAUUGGGCUGCACAUGGUCAUGCCUUCCAACUAGUUGACAUGAUUGAUUCUUUUAGCAUAUAUAAGUUCAAGUAAAAUAGGUCCUACACAUUUAUUUCCUAUACGAAACAAAGGAUCUCUAAGAAUCAAAUCCAUAAAUAUUACUGCUAGUUUAUAAUGAUUUCUAGGAAUAAAACAUACCCCAGAUGCAAACUUUGUAUCCACUUGUAUAAAAGCUAUACGAGAUAAGAAGUCAAAAAUAAGAAAGAUUUCACUGGUUGACAAUAGCACAUGAAGUAUCACAUUGUCUUGUUCCCCAACUCAUUGUCUAAUAUACAUGAUCUUAGCAAUCAAAUUGGUAAAUUUACUGCUCUUGAAUAGCAGCAGACCCCAGUGUUCUGACAAGAUAGCGAACAGACCAUCUGUAAAGAUCAAAUUGAUAAAUUUACAGCAAUAGCUGACAACUUGUAGGAUAACAUUCCCGAUUAGACUAACCUGUGUUAUUUCAAUAGAUUUUGAAAAGUGUUCUCAAAUAGUAGAUAACAGAAAUAUUUAUGGGCUUUCAACAUGUCUGUGUUUGCAAAUCUCCAUAAAUUUAUGAGUCGAUCAAAACCUUACUAUAUAUUGGCAGAAAUUUGAGUCCAUCCAUAUUCGAGAAAAGUAUAAAUAUGAUAUACACAUUUUUAAGAGUUAAUCAAUUUACAUCCAGUUCUAUUGAAUUCAGUCGAACUCAAUACUUUCACAUUGCUGCAGAAUGGCAGAUCUAGUACAUGUUGAGUUAUACUUCAUUGCAUGAUGGACACUACCAUGUGUAUUUUAACUUCAUUUUGAACCACUAAGUAUAAUUCUUACCAAUGGAAUGAGUUGUGGCACUUUAGAAGACUAGAUUCUGACUAAAAACGAGGAGAGUAGAGCAAAAAAAUUCUAUUGCAAUGAAUUUUUUACAUCGAUGCAUGGAAUAGAAGGAAACCAUGUAAGUAAAAAGUUUCAUUACUUCAAUUUCUUUUGAAGUAGAAAAAUGUGUCCUUAGUCUAACUAGUGUUUCUUCUAACUCUCAACUGUACGCAGUUUCUAUCCUGGCUUACUACAACUAUACAAAAUUGUGUAAUUAAAAAAAUGGGGACUCGUUUCCUUCUCACUUCCGCAAUAUAGAAGUGAGAUUGAUGAACAAAUCUUCGCUGCAGGGAAUAGUCACACCACCCAUUGGAUGGUCGAAGCCAAAUUCUUCCUCAGAUUGACUAAGCAAGUCUUGAAAUAAAGGUUCGCUCAAGAAUGAUAUGGGGAUCACAAAUCUCUUUUUCUGCAUCUCCCCAACAUACACAGCAAAAUGGCCCUUGGGAAUAUCUCUGGUUGCGGAAGACUUCUUGAUCAUACGAAGAAUAGCCAUGAU